rnacentral:lncRNA from 1 species
AUGGGGACCGUUUUGGUUCUUAAGACAGAGUUCUAAAGAUAGAUGUUAAUGCCUUAUCUGCAGAGACGCCCGGCCCCGGGGCCAGCAGAGCCACCCACUGCCGUCGGGCAACUGGAGGCUGCUCCGUGGGCGCUGGCCACCCCUCCCCCUGCACAAACGCACACACAAAUGCGCACAAACGCCGGUGCACCCCGGGGAGGAAGAACCAAGGCAAACAGGAUGCUGGCUCUGCCCCAGUCUGGGAGCCCCCGGCUGCCGCACACCCCCACCUGCAGGAAGCCGGGUGGGCCUCUCCACAGCUCCCUGGAGCACAGGCAUCCCUGGCCCCCACCCCAGUCCAGGGAGAGGGAACUCAGUGGGAGCAGGGGCCCUGGGGCAGCUCUUGGUCUGCUCACACCAAGCACAGCGAGGCCCUGGACCCCUCCAGCCGGGCUCUGGGCUCUAGACGGCUGCUCGGGGGCCCGGCUUCCCACCAGUCCCCACGGAACCACGGCUGCUUGGGAUGUGGCCUGAAUCAACCUGAGAGUGGGGUUCCCGUGGCUGUGCCCCCUGGGCCACAGUUUCAUUCUGCG